rnacentral:rRNA from 1 species
CCCUUAGAUGUUCUGGGCCGCACGCGUGCUACACUGAGUAAAUCAAUGGGUAAGGGAACACGAAAGUGCAACCUAAUCUUCAAAUUUGCUCGUGAUGGGGAUCGACGGUUGCAAUUUUCCGUCGUGAACGAGGAAUACCUUGUAGGCGCGUGUCAUCAUCACGCGCCGAAUACGUCCCUGCCCUUUGUACACACCGCCCGUCGCUCCUACCGAUUGAGUGAUCCGGUGAGGCUCUGGGACCUGGACGGAAAGAGCGUUUCGCUUGCUCUGUUUGGGAAACUUGGUCGAACCUUAUCAUUUAGAGGAAGGAGAAGUCGUAACA